rnacentral:rRNA from 1 species
AUUGAACGCUGGCGGCAUGCUUUACACAUGCAAGUCGAACGGUAACAGGCCGCAAGGUGCUGACGAGUGGCGAACGGGUGAGUAAUGCAUCGGAACGUGCCCAGUCGUGGGGGAUAACGCAGCGAAAGCUGCGCUAAUACCGCAUACGAUCUGUGGAUGAAAGCGGGGGACCUUCGGGCCUCGCGCGAUUGGAGCGGCCGAUGUCAGAUUAGGUAGUUGGUGGGUGAAAGGCUCACCAAGCCGACGAUCUGUAGCUGGUCUGCGAGGACGCCCAGCCACACUGGGACUGAGACACGGCCCAGACGCCUACGGGAGGCAGCAGUGGGGAAUUUUGGACAAUGGGGGCAACCCUGAUCCAGCAAGGCCGCGGGCAGGAAGAAGGCGUUCGGGUUGUAAACUGCUUUUGUACGGAACGAAAAGGCUCUGGUUAAUACCUGGGGCACCUGACGGUACCGUAAGAAUAAGCACCGGCUAACUACGUGCCAGCCGCCGCGGUAAAAC